CACGUCGGGGUCCAGGGGUCCAGGACUGACCUUGGGGGUGUUGGGUGUGGACUGAGAGCCUCCCUGAAGACCAGGUCUACUGUGAUCUGCAGAGGUCAGUGUGGUGCCGAAUGGUGACCUGUGAGGACUGCAGGGUGCUGAGACGACAAAGAUUAACGAUGCCGCUUCACGCAUCACUUCAUCCUCGUCUGUCAUUACUGAGAGGUCACUAAUCUGGGCCAACUAAUCCAGCGCCUCGACCUAUGGGAGAAAUUCACACUUCACUUCACUGUGAGGGCUACGAACCAAUGAUGCUGCGUGCAUUGAUCAUUUCCGUUACCACGUGGGUGGGCUACAUCGAAUGCCCUAAUGCGUGUUUACAAGAGCGUUUAUGGUUCUGUGCGGUCGGCUGAACUCUGUGAUGUUACAGAUAAAUGAUAAAUGUCAUCUCUCCAAGCCACCCGGGAAACUGACGAGACGUGGAGGAGUUAGGGACUCACCUUUCAGGAGCUCUGAUCGAUGUACAGUUUGUUCUGUUAAAAAAAAAAAAAACAACAAACUUUCACCUGACCGACUUCUCUGCAGA